rnacentral:rRNA from 1 species
GAUGAACGCUGGCGGCGUGCCUAAUACAUGCAAGUCGAGCGAACGGACGAGAAGCUUGCUUCUCUGAUGUUAGCGGCGGACGGGUGAGUAACACGUGGAUAACCUACCUAUAAGACUGGGAUAACUUCGGGAAACCGGAGCUACUACCGGAUAAUAUUUUGAACCGCAUGGUUCAAAAGUGAUAGACGGUCUUGCUGUCACUUAUAGAUGGAUCCGCGCUGCAUUAGCUAGUUGGUAAGGUAACGGCUUACCAAGGCAACGAUGCAUAGCCGACCUGAGAGGGUGAUCGGCCACACUGGAACUGAGACACGGUCCAGACUCCUACGGGAGGCAGCAGUAGGGAAUCUUCCGCAAUGGGCGAAAGCCUGACGGAGCAACGCCGCGUGAGUGAUGAAGGUCUUCGGAUCGUAAAACUCUGUUAUUAGGGAAGAACAUAUGUGCAAGUAACUGUGCACAUCUUGACGGUACCUAAUCAGAAAGCCACGGCUAACUACGUG